CACGUAGGCACCAAGCGUUGUCCGGAUUUAUUGGGCGUAAAGAGCUCGUAGGCGGUUCGGUAAGUCGGGUGUGAAAGCCCCGGGCCUCAACCUGGGAAUUGCAUCCGAUACUGAUUGGCUAGAGUAUGAGAGAGGGAGGUAGAAUUCCACGUGUAGCGGUGAAAUGCGUAGAGAUGUGGAGGAACACCAGUGGCGAAGGCGGCUUUCUGGUCUGUAACUGACGCUGAGGCGCGAAAGCGUGGGGAGCAAACAGG
rnacentral:rRNA from 1 species